AAGGAUCAUUGUCGACCCUGUGGUAGAAUGACUCUUGUUAACUUGUACCAAUACAAGAUUCUAGUGUUGGGGAGAUCUUUUGGAUUUGGCCCUGACGAACAAAAACACCGGCGCAGCAGUGCCAAGGAAUUUCAUAAUGAGAAUGCUACCUUGCGGAGCUCACGUAUACUUCUUGUGAGGUUGGCAUCUUUUUUUUUUUUAAUGAAAACGACUCUCGGCAAUGGAUAUCUCGGCUCUUGCAUCGAUGAAGAACGUAGCGAAAUGCGAUACUUGGUGUGAAUUGCAGAAUCCCGCGAACCAUCGAAACUUUGAACGCAAGUUGCGCCUUAAGCCAUUAGGUUGAGGGCACGUUUGCUUGGGUGUCAUGCAUUAUGUCUUCCCCUUUUGUGUGUUUGAGUGGGAGUGGAUCAUGGCCUCCUGGGCCCGUCCUUGGGCGUGGUUGGCCUAAAAUAUUGUCCCUGAUGUUGUUUAUGUCUUGGCGUUCGGUGGAUGUACCAACUGUGCAUAAUGGCCAGCCCUGCUUGACCUCAUUGUGGCGUUGAGAUCCUAUGAAGCUGUCGGCGUUGGCUCUUUCAUUGCGACCCCAAGUCAGGCGA
rnacentral:rRNA from 1 species